UACGUAGGUGGCAAGCGUUGUUCGGAAUUACUGGGCGUAAAGCGCACGUAGGCGGCUUUGUAAGUUAGAGGUGAAAGCCCAGGGCUCAACCCUGGAAUUGCCUUUAAGACUGCAUCGCUUGAACAUCGGAGAGGUAAGUGGAAUUCCGAGUGUAGAGGUGAAAUUCGUAGAUAUUCGGAAGAACACCAGUGGCGAAGGCGACUUACUGGACGAUUGUUGACGCUGAGGUGCGAAAGCGUGGGGAGCAAACAGG
rnacentral:rRNA from 1 species